GAUGAACGCUAGCGGCAGGCUUAACACAUGCAAGUCGAGGGGUAGAGUUAGCUUGCUAACUUGAGACCGGCGCACGGGUGCGUAACGCGUAUGCAAUCUACCUUGUACAGAGGGAUAGCCCAGAGAAAUUUGGAUUAAUACCUCAUAGUAUUAUUGAAUGGCAUCAUUUGAUUAUUAAAGUUCCAACGGUACAAGAUGAGCAUGCGUCCCAUUAGCUAGAUGGUAAGGUAACGGCUUACCAUGGCAACGAUGGGUAGGGGUCCUGAGAGGGAGAUCCCCCACACGGGUACUGAGACACGGACCAGACUCCUACGGGAGGCAGCAGUGAGGAAUAUUGGUCAAUGGGCGCAAGCCUGAACCAGCCAUGCCGCGUGCAGGAAGACGGUCCUAUGGAUUGUAAACUGCUUUUAUACGGGAAGAAACCCUGCUACGUGUAGCAGCUUGACGGUACCGUAAGAAUAAGCAUCGGCUAACUCCGUGCCAGCCGCCGCUGUAA
rnacentral:rRNA from 1 species